CGGACGGGUGAGUAACACGUGGGUAACCUGCCCGGAAGUGGGGAAUACCUCGGGGAAACUCGAGCUAAUACCGCAUAACAUCUUUGGAACGGAAGUUCCGACGAUCAAAGCGGGGUCGCAAGAUCUCGCGCUACCGGAUGGGCCCGCGCCCGAUUAGCUAGUUGGUGAGGUAACGGCUCACCAAGGCUUCGAUCGGUAACCGGCCUGAGAGGGCGAUCGGUCACACCGGAACUGAGACACGGUCCGG
rnacentral:rRNA from 1 species